rnacentral:misc_RNA from 1 species
UUCCAAUGGAAUCCGGACCAGGCUGUAGAAGUAAACAGAAAACAGGUUACAUAGAGAAGGAAAAAAAAACUAAUAUACUAGCCCCGGGGGGGAAGGGAAGACGCAGCAUCAAUAAGAGCACUUUAAUCAUUAAAAUGCAAGUUUGCAGCAACAGGAAAGCAUGCGCCUGAAAAAUUAAGACAGCAUUGUCCCUGGAAGGUCAUACUGUUAAACUUUAGGUAAGGCCUCGAGAAAAAAAUAAAAAAAAAGUUAGUUAAUUGGCUUCAUUUUUUUUCCCUUUCUUUUACUCAUCAAGUAAACAUUAUAGAAAUUCAGGUGAUAGUUUUACAGGAAAUAGCAGAAGAUAUAAUUAAAUAUUAUCAACAAUAAAAUAAACCAAAUAACAUCCUCUUGCUCCUCAAGAUAAGAGAAACAAG